AGACCUGUGGUUUCCAGCUGAGCCCUCUGCAUCCAGCACACUGGCAAGCAUGCAGAGCCUCCUGAGCCAUCCAGUGUCUCAGUGAAUGAUUGUUUGUUUCGUAAAUAUUACUGGCCACAGCUCAAAGGAGCUUUUCUAUGCUUUUGAUCUCCACUACAAACACAAAGGACUGAGCAGCAUGUGGCCAGGAAAAGCUGCAUCCAGCAAGAGGCUAUGAAAACUUCUGCCCGGAGUCAGUGAAAAAGGGAGGUCACUGGUUCAAAUUCAGCUUUAGUUGGUGAUGAGUGACAAGGAACAAUGAGACAGGGACAAAUCAUCAGCUGGAGACACCAGGUCUGCC